CAUUACCAAGCUAUAAUUAUCCAAAUUGUAAAAAGUCAGACCCCCCACAUUAUAUUGCUGCAUGAUAAAUCUAGGGCUUAGAUUGCUGUGAUUCGGUGUGAAGUAAUGCCUAGGGUUCAUUACCACUGAUAGCAAGCCACCCUGAACAUGGAGUGAUUGGGAGUUGUUGGGUGUUGGCAAGGGCAUGAGAGAAUCUAGGCAGCCAAUGAGAUUCGGGAUGAGGACUCCCAUGAGGGAAGCUCAAACUUGUUAGUGAGACCUCAAGAAUAAUUUUAUAUCUCUAACACACGUCUGCAUGUGAAUUUCCACUUGGCUUGAAGCGUGAAGAAGCAUAGAUCCUCUUUUCCUUGUACUGAAAUGAUAUGAAAUCUAGACUUUUUUGUCUAAGAGGCUCUUAUGUCAUAUCAAGAGACUACUAAACCUAAAAGUUCAAAGCUUGUAGGUGAGAGCAUCAAGAAUAGUUUUAUAUAUCUAACAAUCUCCCAAUAAGCAUACAGAGGUAGCAACUCUAGUUGUGCACUCCAUGUUAUUCAAACCAAAUUCUUUUAAAAACUAGAAGCUAAAGGGGCGUAUAAUUUUUAUGCUCAUUCACACUACUUCUAAUAAAUAAAGGACUUUAACUUUCCAAAUUAUGAAUGUAUUUAUCAUGAAUUAAAAUUAAAAUACUCCGAGUAAAGAGGUGCUAACUUCUUUUUCUUUUUUGGCAUUUUGUCCCAGUUUUCACAGAAUUCAACAGUAAUACCUUUGAAAGAAUUUCCAUAUCAAACUGAAAUUUUUGAAAAAGCUUGACAUUGAUCAACGAAUGAACCUUUUCUGGAAGGGGAACCAACUUUAUUGCACAAGCCAUAGAAUUUUUAAUAAUAGCCUUACUUCUAGUGAAUGGUAUAUAUUCUCAAAGAAUCAAAAUUACAGUAUGCCUAUCUUUUGUAAUAAUUGACAACUUAGAAGGAGCAGAAACAAGGAAUACCUUAUCUUUCACAUUGCCAAGAACAAUUCUGUAAGGAGCAAUUCCAGGACGUUGAGGCAGACUUGGCUCCAGAAGCUUCUGGAAGCUGGAUCUUCCUAUCUUAGAUUCUGCAAAUAGUUUCCUCUGAGCAAUUAGUUGACUAGAGGUGAAAGAUCCCCGAGGAGUCCCAGAAGAGGGAGGACCACUGGAGUUGGCAAGACUUCCAUUUGGGAAUGAUUUGCGUGAACCCUGAGUAGAAUCCUGGAAUGAAGAUUCUGAAUUUGAAGAACCCAGGGCAUCCUGUCAUUAAUACAGCAAGAGAAAGAAGAAUAAAAAACAGUAAAAAAAACUUGAAUUAUAAUGCUGAUCAUUAGAAAAAGAAACACCUAAGUAGAAGCAAGAGCUUGGUUCACCUGAUGAUUCAAGGGCAUGUAAUCAGUCCCUGGAAGUUCCAAUUUGGGAUACUGAGAUCCACCAGUAUUGCAAUCUAAGCAAAGUCAUAAAGUGCAAUAAAGGAAUUAUAGAACCAGAUGGCAAUUGCAUCACAUAUUAGACAACAAAUGACUUGAGAACGUAUUUGCAUAGUCACUCAACAUAGAGGAGCAGCAGAAUGGAAUCAUGUUGAGGGCUUGGCACAACAUGCAACUGGUUAAAUAAGUACAAAAAUUUUCUUGGUCAAAUUUCUAGUUUUCUUCAAAUCCUUCAGGGGGUCCAAAAAGAGGAUAACAGCAUUAAAUAAAGAUCUUGGAAAAUAAGCAUUAUGAUUUAAUAACUUCAUAAAUUGAGGUAUUCUCAAGUUUCUGUGACAUUAAUUAUUAAAUUUAAAAGAAACAAAAUUAAUGGUGAUACUGACUUCAGGCAAGCCAUAGUUAUUUAGACAAGUCUGAUGCUUCAUACAGGAAAUCUGCCAAACCAAUUUUCUUUACCAGUGCAAGCAGGAAGGUCAGCUGUAGCUGGAAGUUGAGUAGGAAGAGCUGGAGUUUGUUGGCCAUGAGGCUUUAUUUGACUUCUAGUCAUGGGUUGAUUCCAAUUCUCAUACCGAUCCUCUGAUGAAGUUUCUGUACAGGAAAUUGAUCCAACAUCAGAACCUUAUAGGGAGACAUAGUUGCAAGCGAUAGCUUCAUGAAAACCAACAGAGUUCCAUUCACCCAUAAAUAAUUUAAAGCCAUUCCAUUAUUAGAUUUGUAUCAGGAAGGUACAUUAAAAUAAAUCAUACACAAUUGCAUAUAAUUUCUUCACAGUUUGUUUCAUCUUAACUCCAAAGUAUUUUGACAAAAAGUAGACUCAUUUUAGUUUUAUUAGUCCCAACCUGGCACUAACUAUCAAUGAUGACCAUUCACCCAUAAACCCCCAAUCUAGUUCAGGCACAACCAACUCCUUGCACAAUUUUUCCUACAACCAUCUAUAAACUUUGCAGGCUGGCUACAGAAGCUCACGUUCAAGUAAAUUUAUCCUCACAUAAACAGGGAAUAGUCUGGAGAGAUACUGAAAACCAGGAAAACAUUAUUAUGCCAACCAUUGAAAGGAAAACUGGCAUAAACUAACCAUUGGACCAGGUUCUCUGCAGAUUACGUACUUAAAACUUAUCAGACACAACAAGAAAAAGCAGAAAGUUUCCAAAGCUAUCCUACUGAAUAUUAAGCAAGAGAAAGGUGACAACAUCAUGCUUUUCAAAAUGUUACAAAAAUCAUAAUGCUGCAAUUCCACCCAAAAGAACAAAAGAUCAGAAAGAGACAGAGAGACAGAAGCACAUGCAAUUUCUUUAUCCAGCAACAAGAAAUUAGACAAACUCAAUGAGGAACUACAUUUAUAUCAUGCCACAAUUAGUAGCAGUGACAACCAAAAACCAGUAAAAAAACAAACACUGGACAUAAAAUAAGCAUAUAUCCCCACUAUAUAAUUUCUCAGCAAUUACAUCUGUUAUUUUUGUACUCCAAAAAACAUCUUCAUUUGACCACCAUUUCUCACAAAAUAUUGUUCAAUUAUGAAAUCAAAUUAUGACAAGACAAUAAUACUGAGAGCACACUAAUUAACCUGUAUAUUAAGGUUUUGCUAAAUAGAUGGUGCACCUAAGAACAACUUUUACAUCAAUUAUUUUAUAGGCUCCAGUUCGUUUGGUAUCUCUUUAUGCAUUUACUCAAUCACCUAUUGGCAAGGGCUUUUUUCACAAAUUUCAAGUGAAUUCCUUCAGAGAUUGUAUACAAAUUUAAACAUGCCAGUGGCCCAAACCUUCUAAUAGAAUGUCAUUUGCCACUUUUAACAUCCUAUCACUGCACUGAUUCAUGGAUAGUUCGAAUCUUAGGCUAUCAACUUCCCGAAUGUACAGGUCAACGGCCAUCCACCUAGACAAAAGAGAAACAUCUCGUGUGACCUGAAACAAUAAAAUGAAGACUCAUUAUGCAACUGAAAGAAUCAAAGGGAUAUGAAAGUAAAAUACCUGAAAACAUACAAAAACGUGAGAACAAAGCACACUGCAAUGCCAGAGUUCUUUGGGGUGCAAAAUACGGGAUUCUUCAAUUCAUCAGUAAAAAGGACAUGUAAUGCUGAUGGUGCAUCAAGGACAACAUUUCAAGGUGAAGUUAAUUUCAUUCAAAAGAACCUGUAGAUUUAAAGGAUUGACUCUCAUACAAUUUGCAAACCAUAAAUUAUUAACAUGCCUUAGACAAAAAAUAAUAGCAUAACAUGCUACAGUUACUCGAACAAGGCCUUAAACUUGUUUCCUAAUUUCCCGCCAAUGUUUCCAUAAAAUCAGCAUGUCUUUCACAUGUACAAAAGAUAAGUGGUGAAAUGGCAUACGUUUCCUUCAUUCCACAAAGAUAUGAUAGCUUUCCUUUUUCAUCAUUUGUCCUGAAUUUAUGCCUCUUUCUGUUUGAGAUGAUAAUUUAUAAAUUAGUUUCCUAAUAUAACCCUGUUUAAUAUGCAUUGGAAAAGCAAAAUCUAUUAGUUCCAAGAAUAACUAAGUAACAAAACAAUUUGAGUUUGAGAGUAUAUUAUGAAAAACAAUAUGAUAUUCAUAGCUUUAUUAAUCCACAAGAAAAUAACUACAGCCUAUUUUUGUAGAAUAUAGAGAGUAAUUAAUUGCAAGUAAAUUAAAAAUACUAAGUAACAAUAAAAUGCUUAUCUAAUAUCCUUCAAAGACCUAGAAAAUAAUUAUGUAGGCAAUUUUUUCUAGAAAACAAUAAUUAAAUAAAAAGGAUUUUAUGUUUACCACUUUUCCAUUUUCAUUUGAUAUUCUAAGACCAAAAACAAUGCCUAUCCUAUAAAGAUGUUAUAGUAAUAUCAUAAAAGGCUAAGCGAGCCCAUCAUCCACAUGUACUAUUUAUUACUUAAAUUAAUGAACCAAAUAUAUCGAGAUCCUACCCACAGCAAAGUUAUAGAUAACUUUUCACCCAUGUAAGAUUUGUUAUUGACUAGCAAGCCACAGAAUAGAAAUUUAAGGGCAUCACCUUUGCCGUCACAUUGGGAUUUCCAUCUCUAUCACCCCCCAUCCAAGACCCAAACUUUAUUGGUGUGCAAGUUAAUGGAAGUGGCUUUCCUGUAUGCUAAUAGUGGAAAAAGAAAUGAGAAAAAUAGCGACAAUGAAACAGCAGUCAGAAUCAUGUAUGAGAAUGAGAAAGGUGCAACAUCCUUGCACGCAUCCAACCGACCUACCAGCAACAAAACAUAAAAUUGCAACAAACCUUCUUUAGGGCAUUGCUGACACGUCGUAAAUAAUGAGGUACAGCUUUCCACAGGGACUGCUCAACAAUGUUCAAGCCUGAAAUAUUUAAACAUUACAAUAAUCAGUCCCUCCUAGAGAGAGAGAGAGAGAGAGAGAGAGAGAGAGAACACAGCAAAGCCCCAGAGCAGUAACGUCUUAUUUAAAAUCCAAUGCUUACCAGCCCUAGCUUCAUCCACUGGUGUAGGUUUAUGGCGCCUGAGCUCGUCUGUCUGCCAUAUUGAAGUAAUCUCUCUCACCUGCAAGUGUAAUAGCGAACUGUGAACCGUCUUUCGACCAAGAAAAACAAACUGUUAACUGUCAACCAUAAAAACCUCAGAGAGAUAGCUUUCCAUUUUAUUUUACAAUCCUCACACUUUUCAGUGGCUUUUGUGAUAGAUUUAGAUGUUAAAAGAUGGGAACUCUACCAGAUCUUCAAUCAGCAUUUCUCUAUCUUCAUGAGUAAGAUCAGGUCGGUCAUUGUAAUCUAAAAGAUGCUGCAAGAAGGAUCAGGUUAUAUUCAGAAACAAGAUACUAACACAGCAUCUAAUUCUAAGAUUAUCAUGAUGUUAAUUGACAGCAAUUAUAUGAAAAACUUACAGCAAUUCUAAUGUGCUUAUAUUGCAAUGUACGACGAUUAAUUUGAGUAGGAUGUGCAGUAAGAACAAUUUCAACCUCCUGCGACAGCAAUAAUUUGUCAAGUAAAUAUCUAGCACAAAAAUACUAAAUAGUUACUAAUUGCAUAGCUUGGAAUCAAAUCUUAUUGUUGUUGUUGUUGUCAUUAAUAAUUGCAUAACAAGGUCACACUUAAACUUGCAAUUGCAUGAUGCCGAUAUGAUCCAUUUAAUUGCUAAGAACACUUUAGAAAAUUCUGCAACAUAAGUUCCAAUAAAUGAAAUCCAAUGCAAUUAUUUAGCUAAUUUGAGAUACUCUUGUAUGUUUCAGAAACCUGAACCACAUAAAUUGUAUUUGGGAAUCUCAUUUACUGCCUCAAUUCUCAACAUAUGUAACCAGCCAAACCAUGCNNNNNNNNNNNNNNNNNNNNNNGGGGGGAACAGAGCAAAAGUACCAGUUCAAACAAACCUGCUUGCAGACUGUGUUAUAAAGCUCCUCUGGAGAAACUUCACCCUGUAAUAGCUGAUUAAAAAUGUCAUCACAAGAUUUUGAUAGAUGGGUCAUACUUCGAGCCUUUCGAACCCUGAAGAAUGCAAAAUUUUUCUGCAAUGUAUCAACUUCUCUAGAAAGGUUUUCAUUUCCAUAUUUAAAACUGAACUAGAACAGAGAAGAGGAAGAAAUGGAAAUUAAAGGCUAUUCAGGUGACUAACUCCCUAGUGGUUAGUAGAAUGCAAAUCGUUUCUGGGAAUUUUCUUUUCUUUCCUCCUACCAUCUAAGAAGUAAAAGAGCAUUAGUUCAUUAUGUCUUAAUAUCAAAAGAAAAAAUAAAAGACUAAAAAAACAUCACUACUUUCCUUUGUCUGAGCAACACUAGAAGCACAAUGCAUUGACAGUGAUGUAAGUUACUGUUUUCAAGUAAGCCUUCAAUCUUUUGACAAUUUGAGGACAGCAAAUUACCAAUAUGACAUUGAAACAUAAAAUAAAUGAAUUGAUUAAAUAGGCAUGCUAAGGGAAAAAUUACAACAGCAAACAGAAAUUACCUGUGAUGGGUCUCAGCAAUUCCCAUCAAAUUAAGGUAAUGGCUAAACGCACGAGCGAGAGUCACGGCUUCCUCUAGUGUCAUCUUUGACAUCUCCGACGCCAGCUGCUUCUCUAGCAGUUCAGCCGUAUCCUCUAUCCCUGCCACUCUCAUAUUACACGCACUCUGUACAAUAAGAAAAGCCCCACGUAAAUUUUCAACCAAUAUCAAUAUACUUUACUCCCUUUUGCCUAUCAAGGAAAUGCAGAAAUGUCCAUCAAAUGCAAGAAAAAUGAGUUGUUUUACAGAUUUCAUAUCUUGUGAUAAAAAAUAUCAGUCCAUGUUCUAAACAAAUUCAACAUUAAAGUUCUUCAGUCCCUAACUGAGCACACUAAAAGCAAAUUAAAGGGAAUCCAAGAUGCUGAAUCUACUAGAAAAAGCUCAGAAUACAUUCAUCAAAAAUCCAAUUAACCAUUUAGCUACUUUUUUCCACGUAUGUAGUUUUGUUAUUAUUACUUCUAAUUUCUUAGUAUCCAAACAGACAACAUAUACACACACCAAAAAGAAAGGCGCCCAAACUUGAUGAAUAUCCAGCAUCAAUUAAAAUUGAAAUAUAUUCUCAACAUAAAAAAAUUUUGUAUUACAAAAACUCAAAACGCAUAUUUAUUUUCACAAUGAUUUCCCACCGCUUCCGCUUUCUCAACGAUGAAAACGAAACUAACCAUGCAAAGCCAAAUAACAGUGACGACAGUAUCCAUGGACUUUAGCCAAACACAUCAAAAACCCAAAAAUCAAAAACGAUUUUAACAUAUCGGCAAAGUGACUUUUCUCACAGAAGAAGUGAAUAACAACUUGAGAAGAAAACAAGAGACGAAAUCGAAAUUUAAAUAAAACCUGAGCCAGGAUCCGAAUCCUUUCAAGUUUCUCCAUAAAUCUGCCUCCAACUUCUCUCUGCAACACAUCGUUUAGCAGAUUCCCAAGCAGCUUACAGUCAUCAUCAAAGCUUUGAAAUGAUAUUUCCUCAGCUAUAUCAUCUGUUGUAUCCGUCAUUGUAUCAGAAGAAAAAAAGAAGACUCAACAGUCAACACUAAAACAGAGCACCUAAGCACACAACAGAAACAAAAUCCCAGAUUGACAAUCUAACUACAGAGAAAGAAAAAGUAGAAAAAUAGUAUUUUCGUUUUAUACGAGGGAGAGAGCAAAAUGGGGGAAGAUGAAGGUGGCCGUGCUAAUGGAGUACACAUAAAAAGAGAGAGAGUCUCCUUUGUAAUUUUGUUUGUACGAAAACGUCUGUUAAAUGCAGGGCCCAGUGGCUUUUCACGGCCGAAGGAGAAGGCCAGAUGAGCAUUGCCACGUGGUGAUCAGUGAGGUAGAGAUACACGGUUUUGGGUUAUCACGGUACUGAAACUAUUGUGAGCUUGUGAUACCCAGGAGUUUCCGGGAAUUAUUUUUGUUUUCAUAUUUUCCUGGAAAAUAUGCUUUUUCUAUAUGCACAAUAUUCUGCUACUGUUUGGCAUCGCAGAAAAUAUAUGGUAUCUUUCCCAAGAGAAUCUUUAGAUCCCUCCCGCAGUAUAUUUGCUUUUCUAUCAUGUUGAUACCAUCAGAUUUUUUUUUAGAAAAAAAAAAAAAAGAAAAGUAUAAUAUUAAUUAAUUAAAAAUAGAAUGGUUUCUCAUUGAUUUAAAAUUUAAAUUACGUAUUUAUCUAAAUAAUUAAUUACAUUAUCAACAGAAUCAAUCAUCAAGUUUUCGUGAGUGAUGUGUAAAGAUUUAAUUAUGUUUCUAUAUAAUUCUUAAAGCCCCUCCACUUUUCUCUUAUUUCAUUUCUACUUUCAAUUGCUUCUCUUACACUGCUCUUCUGAAAUAAUUGAGAUAAUAACUAAUGGCAAAUAAAAUAUCUUUUAUAUUUCUAUUGUUAUUUAGACAUUAACCACAAUAAUUAAAAAUAAUUUAUUAAAAUUUAAGAUAUUAUUUAUUUAUGAAUAUAUUAAAUUUUAUUAUGAUUAAUGGAUUGAUUAUUAUAUUUUUAAAAUUAAAUAUUUAAAUUUUUAUAUAAUUAUUCCGUUCAAAUUAAAAUUAAUUCUAUUAGUAAACCAAUUACAGAAAAAAUAAAUAUUUAAAAUAUUUAAAAUACUCCUUUUCAAUAUAAUAAAAAUUUUAUAUUGUACAAACUAUAAUAUAAUUUUUAAAUUUUAGUAUAAUUGAUAUAUCAAUUUUUAGAUUUUUUAAAUUAAAUUUUUAAAUUUUUUAUAUUUAAUUUAUUUAAAUUAUAAUUUUUUUAUUUAUUAAAUAUAUUAAUUUAAAAUUAAUAGAGUGUCAAAAUUUAAAAGUUACUUUGUACUAUCUAAAAAUAAUUGAAAUUAUAAAUAUUUUUUAAAAAAUUUUAAAAUUAUAAGUAUUGAAAUUUCUUAAUAAAUAAAAAUUAAAUAAUAAAAAGUGUUAUAAAUUAAUUAAAUGAAAUAAUAUAAAUAAAAGUUAAUUAAAAUUUAAGUAUUUUUUAAAUAUAAAAUUAAAAAUUAAAAUAUUUAAAUUAUAAUAAAUAAAGAUAUUAAGUGAUUUAAGUGUAUGAUUUAAAAAAUAAAGAAAUUAAUAUAUUAAUUAUAUUAAAAUUUAAGGUGUUAAGGACAGUUUAUUUAUUUAAAAAAAUAAUCAAGAUAUUUUUAUAUUUUUAACAGUAAAAAUAAAUAAAUAAUUUAAAAUAUUUAAUUUUAAAAUAUAAAUAUUAAUUUAUUAAUUAUACUAAAAUUUAAAACAAAAAUAUAAUUUAUUUUUAUUUACUGUUGCAAGCUAUAUAUAAUUAAUAGUUUAUUGAAAUAUAUAUACAUAAGAUUAAAACUUUAAUGGUUAAUAAAAUAUAUUUCACUUUUUAAUGUAAAUAUUUUUUAUUAUAUAAAAAUAAAUAUUAUAACUAAUAUAAUUAUUUUUAUAUUUAUUUAUUUUAUAAUUAUAAAUAAUUUGUUAAUAUAUAAAAAAAUAUUUCAAUAAAAAAUUUAUAUUCAAUAAAUAUUAAAAAUAUAAUAUAACCAAAUAAAAGAGAAAAUCUUAUGAAGAAAAAAAUUUUUAAAAUUAAAAGUGACUGAAAAUAUAGCUGAUAGAGGCACCCGUCUUUUUAAAUCUGUUAUGCAUCAGAUAUUUGACAACUUAUCCGUAAUACCUAAAAUUUGAUAAUUAGAUGGAUAAAAUUUGAUAUUUUUUAAAUUUAUUUAAAUAUAUUUAUUAUUAGAUUAAAUAAUAUAAUAAUUUUUAUAUUUUUAUUUAUUUUAAAAUAAAUUUUAAAUGUACAUAAAAAAAGAUUUUGAGCUAUUUAUCCUUUUAUGUUUUUUUAAUAUAAUAUGAUUUUAGCUAAUAACUAAAUUAAAUUUUAGUUUUCUUUUUCUAAUUAUAUUUAUGGAAAAGUCUCUAAAGAACUAAUAAUAAAAUUACAUUGCAUCAAAUAAUUAAAAAUAAAUAAAUUAUUUGAUACAUUCUUUUUAUUCAAAUCAUAAAUAAAUUAUUUUUUAUAUAUGUUUAGAAAAAUUAAAAAAUUUUAAUUUUAAUUUUUAAAAUUUUAUGAAAAUUAAUUUUAAAUUAAAAGUAAAUCUUAUCAAAAUUAUUAAAAUUUUAUAAUAAAUCAUUUUAUUUGAAACGGUUUGUAUCAAAAAAGCAAGCGGCUUGAGCAUCUCGUAUCCGUGAAAUUUUGGGAACGGAGAUAUUGUGAUUUCCACUCACUUUUCUUUGUAUGGUGUCACGGAGUUCUUCGCUGCUGCCGCCCAACGAAUCAUCCGGCAUCAAUUGUGAUUCUAUUGCUUUCUUUAAAGAUUAUCAUGAGUUUUUUUUAUUUUUUUAAAAGGUUUCUUUUAGAAAUUAUUAACACCAUUAUAUAAUUCUAUUAAUUUAAGAUAAAAAGUUUAAAAUUUUUAUUUUUCUAAUCCUAAAAUAUUAUAUAAACAACUUAAUUAUGAUCAUUCAUAGACACACCUACAUGCAAUUAAUUUUUUUUUAUAUCAGUUAUAAUUUUAAAUUAAAAAAAUUAAAAAAAAUUGCAAGGCUGCUAAAUUAAUAAAGUUGAGAAGGGAGAUGGGUCCCACGGAGUCUCAAUCAAAGAAAUUGAGGGCCCAAACGCAUAAGCUCUCAGCUAACUUUCAUUUUUGCAGCAUUUAUAAAAUGAUAAGAACAGUGUGUGAUAUUUGGACGUACACACAGCAACAACUGGGGGGCCUGGGUGGGCCAGCCCUAAUUUUGUCUUAUUGAUAUCAAACACGUUGACACUUGCAGACCCACAUACACUGAUUGUUAUCAACGUGUAUAAAUCUCCAAAUCCAAAUGGGUUUUAUUAAUUAAUUAUCAUCCAGCAGUGGCAGUGGGGUUCCACUUCCCUGAUAAACCUUUUCGUUGUAAUUUGACGUCGUUUUCACAAGAAAUGAAUAUCCAGCUAUCAGGAAUUAUAAUGGAAAUUACAUGUCUCAAAUUGGACGAGACUUGCUGCCACUUGCCUUAUCACACUAGACACUGGCUUUGGAUAUCUCAGUGUCUGGUCUUUUAGGAUCCAUGUAGAGGCGUUUUACCUAUGUGGAUAAAACUGCUUGGAUUCCGCCACAGAAUUGGCUCGCUCUCUCUGCCUUCCUUAGAUUGGAAGUUGGAAGCACGCAACGAUGAAUGGUGAUGAAGAAGGUCAGGAAACCAGUCUAGUCAUGUCCCAUAGCUGACAAAUUUCUCCCCCAAAAGAAGCCAAAACUUGUUUUCAGGAGUGCGAAUUGAUUGUGAUUACAUACCAAUUGAUAUAUUAAAAUCCGCAAUUUUAGAGUAUGUAGUGCAAGAAUUAAAGUGAGAUGUCAUAAAUUUUUUAUUUUUUAAUUAAAUGUUUUGAAUUUAAAUUUUAUAUAUAAAACUUAGAAAGCAGUUUGCAUAAGUGUUCAAAUUAAUCGAGUACAUGGUUAAAGAAGUGUAUGUUAGUAUUAGUGUUAGUGAGUAAUGGCAUUGCAGUGCCUAGUUUUAUUAUGGUGGAGUGGAGUAUUACGUUGGAGUGGGACCCCAGUUACAAAGACUAAACCACUCGAUGGCACAAACAAAACAUGCCACAGAAUAUUCCUCCCCAGUAAUUGAUUAUUAUAUGGAAAUCAAAUGACUUUUUUUAAGGAGAUUCUCCAAAUUUUUAUAUAAAAUUUAGAUUUUGAAAAUAAAAUUAAUUAUUAACUCAUUAAUUUUUUUAUAUUUAAUGUAAUAAAAUAAUAAAUAAAAAGAUUGAAGGGAUAAAAUUUAACCCAUUUAAUUUUUUUUAAUAAAAAAUAAAAACUUUAUUAAAUUUUAAAAACGAUCAAUUCAGAAAUAUAAUUAGAAGAAAUACAAUUAAGAGGCUUAGAAAAAAUUUCAAUCAGACUCAGAAUAUUAUGACUAAUUUGAGCAAACGCAUGAGCUAUACCAUUAGCAGACCUAAAAACAAAAUUAAUAAAAAUAAAAAUAAUCUCCGAAAUAAGAGACUUACAAUAAAAAAUAAAACCACUAAAUGAUGAUAAAUCCUCAUAAUUGGAAUCAGUUAUAACUCGAAUCAAAAGUUGAGCGUCUAAUUCUAUAAUAAUCGAAAAUUAACCAUCAUUCUUGAGCCGGUUUAAAGCUUCAGCAUCAAAAUUUAAUUCAUUUAAUUUGAUAUAAUAUUAUUUCAAAUGUUGUAUUAAGCGGAAAUAUAAUGUAAUGAAUAUACAUUCAUUAGAAGUCAUAUAUUAAUUUAAUGUGAAUUUUAAUUUAAAAUUAAAUAUAAUAAAAUUUUCUCUUUAUUUUUUAUAUUUUAUUAAUUGAAUUUAAUCGAUAACUACUAACUAGUAAAGAUAAUUUAUUUUAUCAAAUUUUAUUUAUUAAAAUUUUAAUUAAAUUUUAUAUAAUAUAUUUGAUAGAACUGAAAAAUAAAACUAUGUUGCCGAUUAGUUUAUUAAAUAAAGUUGUGCAGAAAUUUAUCAAAUUGUAAGAAAUAAAGUAAGCUCAACUGCUAUGCUCAUAUUAAUAAAGUGAAAAGAAGAAUCAGAGAAUUAUAAUAUUUAUAACUCAAAAAUAAUUAUUUAAGAUAAUAAAGUAUUUUAGAUAAUAACAUAUAUUUUAUUUAUGUAAUUAUUAUAUUUUAUACCGUAAAAUAACAGAGUUAAUUAUAAUAUUUUAUAAAAAUUCAAUGAUUCGAUCAGUCUUUUAAUAAAAAAUUUCAUCAAUUAAUCGAUAAAAAAUUUGAUAAUACAGACAUAAAAAAGAGUUUGCUGAAUCAUAACUUCAUAUGUAAAAACCUUAUCUCAAUGAAAGAAAAUAUCAAAUUGAAAUCGAUUUGAAAUAUCUGAAAUUUUUUUUUUUAUCUUAUUAAGAUUGAACCUUAUCUAAUUAUAUUCUUAUCGUAUAGUCUUAUUUUGGAGUGCGAGCAUAUAACUUUUUUAAAUAAUUAUUGUAUAAUAUCAAUAUUUAUUAUGUGAUUUUAUUAUUUAAACAACACUAAAUUUUAAAAAGCAAUUAUCUACUUCAUAAAAUAAAAAAUAAAAUAUGUAUAAUUAGUUAAAAUUAAGAGUUUGAUGAUUAACCUGCAUAUCAAUAAUUUUAAAACUAUAUAAAAAUUUAAUUAAAUUGGCAAUAAUAAUUUUUUUAAAUUAUAUAUAUAUAUAUAAUUCUAUUUAAACUUAAAAAAGAUGGAAUGUUUGAUCAAAAUAAAGGCAAUAAUAUUUUCAAUGCUAAUAAUUGAGUUUUAUAGAUAAUGCUUGAAAAUUUCUUGAAAACUAUGAUUUAGACAGUUGAUUUGAUGUGAAUAAUAAUUUCUGUAUUUAAUAUUAAUUAAAAAAUUAUUAAUGGAAAAUAAUAAUUUGCCAUUGAUUUAAUAAUAAGGAAAUCACAUUUUAAAUAUUAAGUACCAAGGUUUUUCAAUUUUAAGUAUUAUUUAAUUCAUUCUAUAUCUGAGAAAUUUUUCAAUUUUUUCAUUGUUGAGAUUUUUAAACUUUUUAUCGAUAGUAAUUAAAAAUUAAAGCACAGGACAAACGUUUUUAACAUCAAUUUGCAUUUAUUAAUAAAUUAUAAAUAAAAAAUAUAGCUUUAUGAUAAAUCUAUUAUAAAAUUUACGAAAUAUAAAAUUAUUUAAAACAAAAUAAGUCUGUCAAUCAAUAAUUAUUAAUUAAUUUAGACGUAAAAUAAUAAAAAACAAAGAAAAUUAGAUAUAUUAUUAUUUAAAUAAAUUAAAAUUAAGUGAUAAAAUGAAACGAUUCUCAAAUUUAAGUAAAUAUGUAUGAAAAUUACUCUAAUAAUCUGUCAAAAUUUAAACAAUUCCAUCACAUUUAAAAUGGCUAAAAUUAUUAUUAUUAUUUUUUAAAAGGAAAAACAGAAGAAAGAACAAAUAACUUGUAGAGAAAGACAGAAAGGUCAACGGGUAGCAGGCCCAUUUCACUUGGAUCAGUUUUGGGCCCUUCCCGGCGGUAUCUCUCCCAUCCUAGUUCUGUUCAUUACGAGUUUUAACAACGUCAAACUAAAACCUGUGGUUCAAAUUUUAAUGUCUUAUAUUUUUAGUUCAGAACUCAGAGCAUAAGGGUUAUUCUGUCUUCAAAGAUUUAAUAAAAGCACAACUCUUUAUUACCUUAAAAGAAAUUUUAAAGUAGAACUCCUCUAGAUUCCCAGAGCAAAUAGAAAUGAAAAUGACUGGAAUUUCAUUUUCACCUCUUUAAAAAUUGAAUCUUUUUUGGCUUUCAGGCGAGAGGUUUGAGGAAUGCGAGCAAGGGAGAUGGAGGAGGAAACAGGUUUGAAUAUUUCCAAAAUGGAAUUUCUAACGGUUACCAACAACCUCUGUCUGGAGGAAUCCACGAGAGAUAUUAUUAUACUUGUAUUACGUAUGUAAUAAUGAAUUAUUAAGAAAUUGAUGAAUACCCUCAAAUCCAAAUAUAAUAAAGCAAAUGAGUGGUGGAUACCCUCAAAUCAAUGCAUCAGCCAGAACUUGCAGAUCAUAUGAACUUCACCGGACAGCUUCAAAUGAAAAUGAGUUUCAUUGCUUGCAGUGACCAAUAAUCUACAAUUGAACUUGUUCCUCUGAAGUUGUUGUCUCAGAGCACGCACACGGGAAGAAGUGGACCAGCAACAUAGAGAUGUUGAGUUAACAGGCAAUAGAAGCAGAGUCAGACCAGUCCACCCGGACUGAUCAGUAGCAGAGCUAGUGGCUUUGAUUCUUUAUUAUGAAAGGCAGUGCUCUACACCAAGAAGCAAUAUUCCAAUACUGAGCAGCAUGAGCUCUGAAGGGUCACUGUAUGGAUUCUGAUAUUGAUUCAGUGGUCCUAAAGCUCGUGAAGAAAUUGAGUCCAAGGAGAAACGUGCCUAGUUUUCUUAUCUGUCUCGAAGAUAAUCUUGCUGUUACCUUUAGUUGUUGGGUUUUGACUUCAGUUUGUUUUUGGGCAGCCAAACUGUACUUGUAUUAAUUUGUUUAUUGUUCAAGGAUGUUUGGUCUGGAUUAACAAUAAUCAAGGGCUUCUCAGGAGUAUCUAAGACCUGUAUGAGAUUUCAUUAGUUGGUGGUUAUAGAUUAUGGUUAGUUGAUCCGUAGCUUUAGACGGUCCCAUGAUAAUUUUUAUAAUAGUAUGAGGUUUUACAAUUAGUUCCAUGUGGAUCCAUGGUCUGUCUAAUCAUGCUUCCUGAAAAUUCAACCAAAAUUGACUUGGUGAGAUAUUCUGCGGCGCAUGUGGAGCAUAUGCAAAGUCUGUGAGACAAAAUUCUCAUAUUGUCUCCACUCAGGACCUAGGGAUCUACUACAUCAUUCAACAUACCUAGAGAUGAUAAUGGAGGACAGUGGCCACCCCAUAUCGCUAAAAUCUAUUAUUUGGGGUGAAGUUUAUCGGCUCAAAACGGCUAUAGCCAUCAUGACAGGAUCACUUGGUCAUCAUGUGAGAGCAACUGGUGGAUUCCCAUUGGACCUUUUGUUGUAGUUAGCAAUUUUAUUAAGUGAUGUUUCAGUGCUUCAAUUUUAUAACCGAAACAACUCUGAAUUCAGAAGCUUCUUUAUAACCAUAAAUUACUUCUUGUGUCCCAUUAGCUGCAGCUAUCAGACUAAUCAUUCUCCAAAACCCAAAAAGGCAUACGUAAUAUAGAAGAGGAUUUAGAUUUAGGAGGAUGCAGAACACUAAGGUGGCUAGUGGUGGCUCAUGGGUAGAUGUGCAUUAGUGCUUUUUUGGCAGCGCAGUGGCGUUGGUGUUGGUAGGAGGAGCAUGAAAGGACUAAAGAGCAGUGUUGUGUUGGAGUGGCCCGGGUGGGUAUGGUUGGUGUAGCCUUACCUGCCCUUAACCGAUUCCAAUGCAAGUCAGAGCAAUCAGUCAAGCAAAGCCUCUCUCUCUCUCUCUCUCUCCAUUCAUCUCCUUAUUUGGAGCUUCAUCCCCACGCAGUGAUUGAGAAAUAACACAAGGCAUUGUCCCCUUAGAUUCCACUGUUGCUGCGUCCCCGUUUCGAAAUCUCAUCUCUUGUCUAUUUCCAUCUGCCUCUUUUCUCCUUGUUUAUUGUCUUUAAGCUCCACAAUUCUUUGUUUUCUGUUCAGUUAGGUGGGGCUGUUCACCUUACUUUUGUCAGGAUUCUCUUUGCUAGGCCUUUCCUCUGUCCCACAAGGCUUACAAAAAGUCUAUAGAAGCAAAGAAUCAAAUCACCCUCCACACAGCCACUAUAAUCUAUAUGCAAGGAAACACAACCAGAAUCUCUAUCUUUUGAAGAAUUUGCUCUCUUUAGCCUUUUUCACCCCAGAUGAAGACAAUUAUGGCCAAGACCCCUCACGACUCUUCUUUCUCUUUCUCCAGGAGGUAUUUCAACUGGAGAAAAAAGGUUGUUGAAGUUGAAGAUGAUGAUGAGGAAAUCUUAACUUUCAACUCCUCCUCACAUUUCUCUUGUGGGGAGGAGUUGAAAGAUGAUCAGGAAUUUAGAAUCUCGCUGCCCUCUGAAGAGAUGCCUUCUGGAGUACGAGCACCCAGGAAAAAGCUUCCUAUUGUAGCUGUUUCUAAGCUCCGAUCAGCUCUUACUGUUUUCAGCAAAGGCCGACCAACAUAUCACUCAGGUCUAGGAACCAAAUUGAUAGGUACUCUUUUUGGGUAUCGUCGGGGUCAUGUCCAUUUUGCACUCCAAGAUGAUGCCAAACUGAAUCCAGCUUUCUUGAUUGAGCUUGCAACGCCAACUAGUGUAUUAGUCCGGGAAAUGGCUUCUGGGUUAGUGAGAAUUGCUUUAGAGUGUGAAAAAAAGCCACAGAAAAAAGCUGGAAAGUUGGUGGAGGAGCCUCUAUGGAGGACUUAUUGCAAUGGCAAGAAAUGUGGGUAUGCAAUGAAGCGUGAGUGUGGUCCUGAAGAGUGGAAGGUGUUGAAGGCUGUGGAGCCAAUUUCAAUGGGUGCUGGCGUGCUGCCGGGGAAUGGAGCAGGGUCCGAAGGGGAACUCAUGUAUAUGAGAGCCAGGUUUGAGAGAGUUGUGGGUUCAAAAGACUCGGAAGCAUUUUACAUGAUGAAUCCUGAUGGGUCUGGAGGUCCUGAACUCAGUGUUUAUUUGCUUAGAGUUUAGGUUUAUUGCCAAUAAGUGGGGAAGCAUCAGCAAUCCAUCCAUCCACUUUCAUGGUGCUUUUUCUUUUGUGCUUCUGAUGUUUUUUUUUUUUUUUUGAACUUCAUUUCGGUUUUUGGGAUUAAUAGUAGCUUAUAUCAUGCUUAGUAAUCUCUAGGAAAUUUGGUGAAGCAGAACAAGAAUGGUAUGGUAGAUGGGUGUGGGGUAUAAUUAUGUAUAGGUGAAGGAAAUGGUUUCAUAAAAGGAUGGUGGAACUGGUUUAGCCUUUAUGGGCAAUGGAUCUUGGCGCAGAUGAGAUUGCAUUUAUAAACCCUUCUUUUCUCCAUUUAAAAGUCUCAACUACUUUAACAUGGUUUGGUGGUUUGCCAGAAAUUUUACAUGAAACCUUUUCAGCCGGAGUAGAAAGGAAACUAACAAUGGCAGAUAAGAAAUCUCACAAAUAUCAUACAUAAAGGUAAAAUUUCUGGAGUAGAAUGGCUUCUAGUGCAAUAACAUGUAGAACACAUUUGGUGCCAGAUUUCUGCUUUUCAUUUCCUUAUUACUGCAUAUAUCCCCUUUAAUUAUGGACUGAAAAGGGGGGAAUUAACAGAAGGGUAAAAGUUCAAAUCCACAAGCUUAUGAAUUUGGAGUCAAACGAGGAAGAAAGACUCUAAUAUAAUCCAAAUAUGUUUGUUUAAUUGUUUCCACAUCUUGAGCAUUUCAAGGUGAAAAUCCA
rnacentral:lncRNA from 1 species